rnacentral:tRNA from 1 species
GAAAGUUAAAAGGCGUUACUGCUAAUAAUGCUAUAAGAGUAGAUAUACUCAGCUUUCU